GUGGGGAAUAUUGGACAAUGGGCGAAAGCCUGAUCCAGCCAUGCCGCGUGUGUGAAGAAGGUCUUCGGAUUGUAAAGCACUUUAAGUUGGGAGGAAGGGCAGUAAGUUAAUACCUUGCUGUUUUGACGUUACCGACAGAAUAAGCACCGGCUAACUUCGUGCCAGCAGCCGCGGUAAUACGAAGGGUGCAAGCGUUAAUCGGAAUUACUGGGCGUAAAGCGCGCGUAGGUGGUUUUGUAAGUUGGAGGUGAAAUCCCCGGGCUCAACCUGGGAACUGCCACCAAAACUGCAUGACUAGAGUACGGUAGAGGGUAGUGGAAUUUCCUGUGUAGCGGUGAAAUGCGUAGAUAUAGGAAGGAACACCAGUGGCGAAGGCGACUACCUGGACUGAUACUGACACUGAGGUGCGAAAGCGUGGGGAGCAAACAGGAUUAGAUACCCGGGUAGUCC
rnacentral:rRNA from 1 species